CUGUUCGCCAUUUAAAGAGGUACGUGAGCUGGGUUCAAAACGUCGUGAGACAGUUUGGUCCCUAUCUGCCGUGGGCGCUGGAGAUUUGACGGGGGCUGCUCCUAGUACGAGAGGACCGGAGUGGACGCACCUCUGGUGUACCGGUUAUCACGCCAGUGGUAUCGCCGGGUAGCUAAGUGCGGAAGAGAUAAACGCUGAAAGCAUCUAAGCGUGAAACUCGCCUGAAGAUGAGAUCUCCCGGAGGCUUGACCUCCUUGAAGGGUCGUUGAAGACCACAACGUUGAUAGGCUGGGUGUGGAAGCGCGGUAACGCGUUAAGCUAACCAGUACUAAUUGCCCGUACGGCUUGACCCU
rnacentral:rRNA from 1 species